AGGACCUCUGGAAGAGCAGUCAG
rnacentral:piRNA from 2 species